GCUUGAAACGUCACCAAACGGCCCCGUAACGUUGGGUUUCAUCAGCAUACAGUACAUCCUCCCAAUCCACCUAGCUCGCGGCAUUUGCAGCAGCGACGGCGACGGCGGCGGCGCCACCAUGAACGCGCUGAUUCGGAGGUCCUCCGCUAUUGUUGGCUGCAGAUUCCACUUCUUCCACACAGCAACGUCCACAGCACCACUCAUCAACGACACUGGCCUCUACGGAUACCAUCACCUGAAAACUGCCAAAGGCUUUCAACGAUUCGCCGACGAUGCUAUCGAGAGGUCUAAAGAGCUGCUGAAUCACAUCUCUUCAAUGCCGGCGGCUUCGGAAAUCAUUCGAACAUUGGAUGAAAUAUCUGAUACUGUAUGUUCAGUGAUUGAUGCUGCAGAAUUAUGUAGACAUACACAUCCAGACAGGGAAUUUGUUGAGGAGGCAAGCCAGGCAUCUUCCAGAGUUAACGACUUUUUACAUUACCUUAAUUCAAAUCAUAGUAUAUAUAAGGCAGUUUUAAAAGCAGAACAAGAAGGCAAUUCACUUACCGAUGAAGGUAAAAGGGCAGCUCGUUUUCUACGCAUGGAUUUGGAGAAUGGUGGAAUUCAUCUUUCCCCUGAAAGACUGGAUCGAGUGAAUCAGCUCAAUAUGGAGAUUGUUCAGUUGUGUAGACAGUUUAGUACAAAUGUUGUCACUGACCCAGGUCAAGUGGAUAUAUUUCCAGCUUCAAGAGUUUCUAAAACUUGGCGCCACCUUGUCAAGCCUAUCUAUCGUUUUCCACGGGGUACCUCCAAGGGAUCCAUAUUGUCUAGAGACAGCGUGAAGGAGAAGGGCUUUAGAUUGAUAACCUCCCCAAACAGUUUGCAGCAUGUCCUUCAAUGUGUAUCAGAUGCCGAGGUUAGGAAGAUGGCAUAUAUCCAGGGAAAUUCUGCCCCACGCGCUAAUCUUGAGGUUCUUGAUAAGCUUAUUUCUGCUCGCCACGAAGUUGCUCAGAUUCUGGGGUAUAAAUCUUAUUCUGCAUUUUCUCUACAUUCAACUAUGGCUGCAUCACCGGAAGUAGUCUUUUCGUUUUUGCAUGAGAUGAGCAAAUUAGUUAGAGCCAAGGCUGACAAGGAAUUUAAGGCAAUUGAGGAGUUUAAGAGAGUGAAAAGUUGUGACCAGGGUGGAGGCUUAGAGCCAUGGGAUGAGGGAUACUUCACGUGGUUGAUGAAGUCUUCAGCAUACAACUUGAAUUCCUUGGCAGUGGCAUCAUAUUUUCCUUUAGCACGAUGUAUAGAGGGCUUAAAGAUUUUGGUUGAGUCACUAUUUGGUGUGACAUUUAGACAGAUACCCCUGGCCCCUGGUGAAUCAUGGCAUCCAGAUGUGAUAAAAAUAUUACUACAUCAUCCUAAUGAGGGUGAAUUGGGUUACUUAUACCUUGAUUUGAAAUCAAGAAAAGGUAAACAUCCCAUUUGUGCACAUUUUGCUAUCAGAGGAGGACGUCGCAUUUCUGAGACAGAGUACCAACUUCCUAUUGUUGCUCUCAUUUGUGAUUUCUCUGGUCCAAGUUCAACAUCAGUUAUGCUUAACCAACUUGAAGUAGAAACACUUUUUCAUGAAUUCGGGCAUGCUCUUCAUUCAUUGCUCUCAAGAACGGAAUAUCAACAUUUUUCAGGGACUAGAGCUGUUCUUGAUUUUGCUGAAACACCUUCAACACUCUUUGAGCACUUUGCAUUGGAUUAUCGGGUUUUAAGGAGAUUUGCUAAGCACUACUCAACUGGUGAUGUCAUACCAAAAGAAUUGGUAGAAUCAAUGCUUGGAGCGAAAAAUAUGUUUGCUGCAACAGAAUUACAACGACAGAUUUUCUACGCGUUAGUUGAUCAAACACUUUUUGGAGAGCAGCCGUCCUCAGUCAGAGAUUCAUUAUCAAUUGUUGCUGAUCUCAAAAGACAACAUACAAGUUGGAAACAUGUGGAAGGGACACAUUGGCACACCCGAUUUAAUCAUCUUACAAACUAUGGUGCAGGCUACUAUAGCUACUUGUAUGCAAAAUGCUUUUCAGCAACCAUUUGGGAAAAGAUAUGCCAAGAGGAUCCACUAUCACCGGCAACAGGUUCAGCUCUAAGGAUGAAGUUCCUGCAGCAUGGAGGAGCCAAAGACGCUACUAAUAUAUUGAAUGACCUUGUAGGAAACGGUAUUACAAGGCCUGCUGGUGAAGGCGUAAUACCUGAUGUCACAAGCCUCUGCAAUAUGUUGGAGCUAACCAAAUGCUAGUACGAAGAGAUCCCCCACUUGAUCUGCCAAGAGGGGUGGAGAAACCAUCAAUAUGUUGUCACAUAGAGGAAUCCUCUGGUUUUGAUAGUAACUUUACAUGAAGGGAAUUGAUACUCGUAUACACCCCCAUGGAUUCACAUAAAGUUAAAAGCAGAAAAAGAAAAAAAAAUGGAGAUGAAAGCAACAGUUUGGGGUUGAUUCCUGUUUGGUUGGCAGCAUAAACGUUGUGAUUUGGCCCUUUCAGGAGAGCCCUUUUCCCAGUAAGCUGUCUUUGAUGUCUCUUACUGGCGCAAAGGUGUGGUAAAUUGACACUAUUGAGCUAUAUCCUCAGACUACUUAACUCCUUUUGUCAUUCUCGGCCUCCCAUUCCCCCUUAUAGUGCCCAUCAAUCCCCGUCAAUUCCAGAAUAAUAUGCCUCCCCUCUCCCUCUAUUGGAUGAUCAUGAUCCAGGUCAAAUUUAGCUAAAAUUUCUAAUCCUGUCUCUGUCAUCCGAACCGAAUCUGAUCUGGCUUUAGAAUGGGGGGAGCGUGGCCGAUCAAGAUUGGUGGCACUAACCCAUCACCAAUUAAAGCUGUUAAGUGCAUCAUUAUAUCGGUUUUAUUGGCAACGCAAUCAUUUUUGUCUCUUUAUAAUCAUCAUUAUGGAAGUCGAAUUGCGGUUCAAGUGAAAGAAAAAGGGGUUUAUAUUUCAUAAAUUUAAUAAGAGGGGUGGAGAGAAUA